UACGUAGGGUGCAAGCGUUGUCCGGAAUUAUUGGGCGUAAAGAGCUCGUAGGCGGUCUGUCGCGUCUGCUGUGAAAACUCGGGGCUUAACCCCGGGCCUGCAGUGGGUACGGGCAGACUAGAGUGCGGUAGGGGAGACUGGAAUUCCUGGUGUAGCGGUGAAAUGCGCAGAUAUCAGGAGGAACACCGGUGGCGAAGGCGGGUCUCUGGGCCGUAACUGACGCUGAGGAGCGAAAGCGUGGGGAGCGAACCGG
rnacentral:rRNA from 1 species